rnacentral:rRNA from 1 species
AAGACUACCACUUCGAUAGGCUGGGUGUGGAAGUAUAGCAAUAUAUGAAGCUUACCAGUACUAAUCGCUCGAUUGGCUUGAUUACACUCAUUAU